GUGUGUGUAUGAAGAAGUUGUUCUAUUUCUUCUUUUUUUUUUUGGAAUUAUUUUUUUUCCCUUGGUUUAGUAAUGUCCUUGAUGAAGGGGAGAUUUUGAGGGAUGAGAAUGAUUAUCAUUUGUCACUUCUUUGUGGUCCGGGAGGCCUGAAAGCUGAAACCCCCCUUUACGCUUUUAUAUAUUAAACUAUGGUUUGUUUUUACCAAAAAAAAAAAGCACAUUAUGAUCAUAGGUAUGCUCAAAGUUGAUCAUGGUUUGAUGUUAAAUGGACCCACAAUUUUUGUAUAAAUAAUUUUCGAUUGCUAAAGAGGCAAC
rnacentral:misc_RNA from 1 species